GAUGAACGCUAGCUACAGGCUUAACACAUGCAAGUCGAGGGGCAGCAUGAACUUAGCUUGCUAAGUUGAUCGGCGACCGGCGCGACGGGUGAGUAACACGUAUCCAACCUUCCGUUUACUCAGGGAUAGCCUUUCGAAAGAAAGAUUAAUACCUGAUAGUAUGGUGAGAUUGCAUGAUAGCACCAUUAAAGAUUUAUUGGUAAACGAUGGGGAUGCGUUCCAUUAGGUAGUAGGCGGGGUAACGGCCCACCUAGCCGACGAUGGAUAGGGGUUCUGAGAGGAAGGUCCCCCACAUUGGAACUGAGACACGGUCCAAACUCCUACGGGAGGCAGCAGUGAGGAAUAUUGGUCAAUGGGCGAGAGCCUGAACCAGCCAAGUAGCGUGAAGGAUGAAGGUCCUACGGAUUGUAAACUUCUUUUAUACGGGAAUAAAGUAUCCUACGUGUAGGAUUUUGUAUGUACCGUAUGAAUAAGCAUCGGCUAACUCCGUG
rnacentral:rRNA from 1 species